UACAUGCAAGUCGAACGCUUCUUUUCCCACCGGAGCUUGCUCCACCGGGAAAAGAGGAGUGGCGAACGGGUGAGUAACACGUGGGUAACCUGCCCAUCAGAAGGGGAUAACACUUGGAAACAGGUGCUAAUACCGUAUAACAAUCGAAACCGCAUGGUUUCGUUUUGAAAGGCGCUUUACGGUGCCGCUGAUGGAUGGACCCGCGGUGCAUUAGCUAGUUGGUGAGGUAACGGCUCACCAAGGCCACGAUGCAUAGCCGACCUGAGAGGGUGAUCGGCCACAUUGGGACUGAGACACGGCCCAAACUCCUACGGGAGGCAGCAGUAGGGAAUCUUCGGCAAUGGACGAAAGUCUGACCGAGCAACGCCGCGUGAGUGAAGAAGGUUUUCGGAUCGUAAAACUCUGUUGUUAGAGAAGAACAAGGGUGAGAGUAACUGUUCACCCCUUGACGGUAUCUAACCAGAAAGCCACGGCUAACUACGUGCCAGCAGCCGCGGUAAUACGUAGGUGGCAAGCGUUGUCCGGAUUUAUUGGGCGUAAAGCGAGCGCAGGCGGUUUCUUAAGUCUGAUGUGAAAGCCCCCGGCUCAACCGGGGAGGGUCAUUGGAAACUGGGAGACUUGAGUGCAGAAGAGGAGAGUGGAAUUCCAUGUGUAGCGGUGAAAUGCGUAGAUAUAUGGAGGAACACCAGUGGCGAAGGCGGCUCUCUGGUCUGUAACUGACGCUGAGGCUCGAAAGCGUGGGGAGCAAACAGGAUUAGAUACCCUGGUAGUCCACGCCGUAAACGAUGAGUGCUAAGUGUUGGAGGGUUUCCGCCCUUCAGUGCUGCA
rnacentral:rRNA from 1 species